rnacentral:misc_RNA from 1 species
AAAGUCGUAACAAGGUCUCCGUUGGUGAACCAGCGGAGGGAUCAUUAGCGAGUCCCAGGACCCCUCACCCCCCCGCCCCGUGGGCUCUCCAGUUGCCUCGGCGGCGCGCCCCGGCGCCCGCCGCAGGACCGCCACGACGCUGCAUCUCCGCGAGGCGCCUCUGAGUGGUAGCGGCGAAUGAAGUCAAAACUUUCAACAACGGAUCUCUUGGCUCCG